rnacentral:rRNA from 1 species
GACGAACGCUGGCGGCGUGCCUAAUACAUGCAAGUAGAACGCUGAAGGAGGAGCUUGCUCUUCUGGAUGAGUUGCGAACGGGUGAGUAACGCGUAGGUAACCUGCCUGGUAGCGGGGGAUAACUAUUGGAAACGAUAGCUAAUACCGCAUAAGAGUAGAUGUUGCAUGACAUUUACUUAAAAGGUGCAAUUGCAUUACUACCAGAUGGACCUGCGUUGUAUUAGCUAGUUGGUGGGGUAACGGCUUACCAAGGCGACGAUACAUAGCCGACCUGAGAGGGGGAUCGGCCACACUGGGACUGGGACACGGCCCAGACUCCUACGGGAGGCAGCAGUAGGGGAUCUUCGGCAAUGGACGGAAGUCUGACCGAGCAACGCCGCGUGAGUGAAGAAGGUUUUCGGAUCGUAAAGCUCUGUUGUAAGAGAAGAAAGAGUGUGAGAGUGGAAAGUUCACACUGUGACGGUAUCUUACCAGAAAGGGACGGCUAACUACGUG